GACGAACGCUGGCGGCGUGCUUAACACAUGCAAGUCGAGCGGUAAGGCCCUUUCGGGGGUACACGAGCGGCGAACGGGUGAGUAACACGUGGGUGACCUGCCCUUAGCUCUGGGAUAAGCCUGGGAAACUGGGUCUAAUACCGGAUAUCGACUCCAUAACGCAUGUUGUGGGGUGGAAAGCCUUGUGCGGCUAGGGAUGGGCCCGCGGCCUAUCAGCUUGUUGGUGGGGUGAUGGCCACCAAGGCGACGACGGGUAGCCGGCCUGAGAGGG
rnacentral:rRNA from 1 species